rnacentral:rRNA from 1 species
UGGGGAAUCUUGCGCAAUGCGCGAAAGCGUGACGCAGCAACGCCGCGUGGGGGAAGAAGGCCUUCGGGUCGUAAACCCCUUUCAGGAGGGACGAAGCCAGGGCGGUGAAUAGCCGACCCUGGUGACGGUACCUCCAGAAGAAGCCCCGGCUAACUACGUGCCAGCAGCCGCGGUAAUACGUAGGGGGCAAGCGUUGUCCGGAAUCAUUGGGCGUAAAGAGCGUGUAGGCGGUCCGAUAAGUCGGUUGUGAAAGUCCAGGGCUCAACCCUGGGAUGCCGACCGAUACUGUCGGACUAGAGUUCGGAAGAGGCGAGUGGAAUUCCCGGUGUAGCGGUGAAAUGCGCAGAUAUCGGGAGGAACACCUAUGGCGAAGGCAGCUCGCUGGGACGUUACUGACGCUGAGACGCGAAAGCGUGGGGAGCAAACAG